AUGGCCCGUCUCAAACAUGUGCGUCCAAAUAGGAGCAGAGGAGCUGGUUCGGGGGGGAAAGUAAACGUCGCAGCCCCCGAGUCGAGAGUGAGCCGCAGCAUGACUCCAAUGAGGAUCUCUAGAGAUCUGCCGUCGUAUUUACAUAAAAUGCGGCGGAAUAAUGGUUUGGACCUUCAAGGAAGAGGAGUUAUGAAGCUGCAUGGAAGACGGUUCGAAGGCCGUAGAGUUUACAGUAAGGGAACAGUGACUCCCAGCACUAAGGACCCCAGCCAAGACAGCACAAGUAUGAUUAUGCCCUCUGGUGUGUCCAGCUUUUUGUUGGAUUGUAUGGAUUCGGACUCAGAAGCAGAGGACACACUUCCUUCCAUUGAGAUGGUUCGCAAAGCUGAUAGUUAUGACGAGGGCACAGCUUUGGUCAGUGAAGAUGAAAUACUGCACCGCCACAUUAAGAACUCGACUCUUCUCGACCUCAGUCAUGCGGUGGACAUAGCCAUGCAACAACCCCCAAACCUCUCCUCCAUUCUAGAGCUCUCACCUGUACUUCAUGGGCAAGCUGCAAAGGAAUGGUUUUGUCUAUCACCCUUUAGGUUUUUAGUGGACAUUACAGAUGCACCAGAAAGCUAUGUUUGGAAAUGGUGUUUACUUAUUGAAUGAUUGACCUCUUCAGGUUAUUAAACAAAUGACGAAGACUAAGGAAGAUUAACUGAGUUUUGCAUAUGGAUUUAUCCAUUCAUUUAAGCUGGCCUGUGAAAUACUGAAUGUUUUUUGUCAGUGUUUGCCAGCUGUUUUCAGACAUUGUUGAAUGUGAUGGCUUUUAUCAGCCUACAUUGCUAAGAAUAAAACUUUAGCAUAAAACCACAUUAGCUGGCCUAAUGGCCCGUAGCUUUAAUAUCAACUGUUGGUUGAAUGGGAAUUCCAUCAAUCUUAAGAAUUGUGUUUUGAUGUGCAAUGUUCUGUUCUAGAGAAACAUGAGUUAAGAUUGUUCACAGUGGUGGACAUGGGAACCAGACAUCUGAAGUGUAUAAGGGCUCAUAUCGCUGUCUCAUCUGUGACAUUGUUCUGUGAUAGUUGAGGUUUGAGGUUUUAGCCUAACAUUUUUAUUUAUUUAUUUAUUUAUUUUUAUUAUUAAUCAAUUCAUGGCAGAGCGGUUUCUCAGACACAUUGAUCAGGCAUAACAUUCUGACCACCUCCUUGUUUCUAUGCUCAUUGCCCAUUUUAUCAGCUCCACUUACUCUACAGAUGCACUUUGUAGUUCUACCGUUACAGACUGUAGUCCAUCUGUUUCUCUGAUACUUUGUUAGCCCCCUUUUACUCUGUUCUUCAGUGGUCAGUACCCCCAUGGACCCUCACAGAGCAAGUACUAUUUGGGUGGUGGAUCAUUCUCAGCACUGCAAUAACACUGAUGUGGUGGUGGUGAAGUGAUAGUCUCUGUAGUGCUGGUAUGAGUAGAUCAGACACAGAAGUGUUGCUGGAGUUUUUAAAUACUGUAUCCAAUCACUGUCCACUCUAUUAGACCCUUUUAGUUCACUAGUGGCUUUGCAUAGUAAAUAAAGUGGUUAGAUUUGUGUUGUAGGCAUCACAAUCUCUAUUUAUCGUACUCACUGUAAAGAAACCUGUCGAUUCAGAUUUCUCUACAAUAAAACAUUUCAGAUCAAACCACUUUCAGUGACAUUGUUGACAUCCCUACUGUUAAGUGAUGCAGGAAUUUUGAAAUAUUGGUGCAAUUCCCUUUUAAGGCCAGGAAAAAGGAUCUUUUGUAGGCCCAAGUGCAAAAUAAAGUUAAUUGGGCCCCCUUUAUGCAAAAUAUAUACACUGCUCAAAAAAAGGGAACACUUAAACAACACAAUAUAACUCCAAGUAAAUCAAACUUCUGUGAUAUCAAACUGUCCACUUAGGAAGCAACACUGAUUGACAAUCAAUUUCACAGCUGUUGUGCAAAUGGAAUAGACAACAGAAGGAAAUUAUUGGCAAUUAGCAAGACACACUCAAUAAAGGAGUGGUUCUGCAGGUGGGGACCACAGACCACUUCUCAGUACCUAUGCUUUCUGGCUGAUGUUUUGGUCACUUUUGAAUGUUGGUGGUGUUUUUACACUCGUGGUAG
ensembl:lncRNA